CAAUAGCGUAUAUUAAAGUUGUUGCAGUUAAAAAGCUCGUAGUUGGAUUUCGGGGUGGCCUGCCUGGUCCACCGCAAGGUGAGUACUGGUCAGCCGCCCUUCCUCUCGAAAGCCCCGACUGCUCUUCAUUGCAGUGGUCGGGUAGUUCGGGACGUUUACUUUGAAAAAAUUAGAGUGUUCAAGGCAGGCUCUCGCCUGAAUACAUUAGCAUGGAAUAAUGGAAGAGGACCUCGGUCCUAUUUUGUUGGUUUCUAGGGCCGAAGUAAUGAUUAAGAGGGACAGUUGGGGGCAUUCGUAUUUAAUUGUCAGAGGUGAAAUUCUCGGAUUUAUGAAAGACGAACAACUGCGAAAGCAUUUGCCAAGGAUGUUUUCAUUAA
rnacentral:rRNA from 1 species